rnacentral:rRNA from 1 species
GGUGAACCUGCGGAAGGAUCAUUGUCGAAACCUGCAAAGCAGAGCAACCAGCGAACAUGUUUUACAUCCGUGGGACGGGGGUGUUGGUAUGAUGCUUUAGCUUGUGCCAGCCCCUCCCCCCAUGUCGCGGGGCACUCCUACUUGGUGUGCUCCCCGGCAAAAAAAAACAAACCCCGGCGCUUACUGCGCCAAGGAACAUGAAAAGGAGUGUGCCUGUCCCGUGCACCGGUUUGCCGGUGUGGGGACGUGGCACCCAUUAUUAAGAGAUAAAACGACUCUCGGCAACGGAUAUCUCGGCUCUCGCAUCGAUGAAGAACGUAGCGAAAUGCGAUACUUGGUGUGAAUUGCAGAAUCCCGUGAACCAUCGAGUCUUUGAACGCAAGUUGCGCCCGAAGCCUUUAGGCCGAGGGCACGUCUGCCUGGGCGUCACGCAUCGCGUCUCCCCACCCCACCGCGUGUGGGAUGGGGAGGAAGAUGGCCUCCCAUGCCUCACCGGGUAUGGAUGGCCUAAAUAAGGAGCCCCUGGCUACGAGCUGCAGCGGCAUUUGGUGGAAGACAAGGCCUUGCCUAGGAUGCAUCGGCGUCGCUCAGCACGUAGGCCGCGCGGGCUCGCAGGACCCUAACAUGUUGCCCCUGCGGCGACAAACCUUUGCGACCCCAGGUCAGGCGGGG